rnacentral:rRNA from 1 species
GACGAACGCUGGCGGCGUGGAUUAGGCAUGCAAGUCGAACGGUAUCAUCCUUUCGGGGGUGAGAGAGUGGCGAACUGGUGAGUAACACGUAGGUUAUCUACCCUCAAGACGGGGACAACCCAGGGAAACUUGGGCUAAUACCGGAUGUGAGCAACUUUUAGUUUGUUUGAAAGGUGGCGUAAGCUGUCGCUUGGGGAUGAGCCUGCGUCCUAUUAGUUAGUUGGUGAGGUAACGGCUCACCUAGGCAAUGAUAGGUAGGCGGCCUUAACGGGUGGUCGCCCACACUGGGAUUGAGAUACGGCCCAGACUCCUACGGGAGGCAGCAGUCGAGAAUAGUCUACAAUGGUCGGAAGACUGAUAGUGCGACGCCGCGUGAACGAUGAAUCCCUUCGGGGUGUAAAGUUCUUUUAUAUGUGAGCAGUGCUUCUUAUAUUAACAGUAUGGGGAGAGAGAUAUUAGCAUAUGAAUAAGCAACGGCUAACUCCGUGCCAGCAGCCGCGGU